rnacentral:tRNA from 2 species
GCGUUUGUGGUUUAGUGGUAAAAUCCAUCGUUGCCAAAGCGGUUUAGUGUCAAACAUCAUCCCUGCAACAACUUCGAUGGGCCCCGGGUUCGAUUCCCGGCGAACGCA